UGGGGAAUAUUGGACAAUGGGCGCAAGCCUGAUCCAGCCAUGCCGCGUGAGUGACGAAGGCCUUAGGGUUGUAAAGCUCUUUCAGACGGAAAGAAACGGUCGCGGCCAAUACCCGCGACUAAUGACGGUACCGUAAGAAGAAGCACCGGCUAACUACGUGCCAGCAGCAGCGGUAAUACGAGUGCCCCGAGCGUUAUCCGGAAUCAUUGGGCGUAAAGGGUGUGUAGGUGGUCAUGUUAGUCAGUUGUUAAAACCCGGGGCUUAACCCCGGAAGUGCGACUGAAACGGCAUAACUAGAGGAUGGCAGGGAUGUAUGGAACUCAUGGAGUAGGGGUGAAAUCCGUUGAUAUCAUGGGGAACACCAAAAGCGAAGGCAGUACAUUGGGCCACUCCUGACACUGAAACACGAAAGCGUGGGUAGCGAAUGGGAUUAGAUACCCCCGUAGUCCCUGAGCGGGCUGGCAAGGCGCAU
rnacentral:rRNA from 1 species